AUGCUGCCAAUAUCUCCUUUUCAGUUGGAGUGUAGUGGGCCUCAGAUCCUCUGUAUCCCUGACUCCAAAACCCCAGGGGUCGACCUCGAGUUUCCCCAGGUGCCAGAGGCUCCAUGUGGGGCCAUUCUCCCCAGCUACAGUGUAGAGCACAUUCUUUACAUCUGGUCCUGUUCGGAUUGGCCCAAGGGCUACUGCAUGAACUAUUUCCUGCUUAAUUUGUUCAAAGGCUUGUCGUUGCUCAGGGGUGAAUUUCCAAAACACUGGAGGUGUCCACUGCUCUAGAAACCUGCCCAUAUCCUCCCACACUUCCUGCCACUCAAAACUAUCCCGCCUAAGGACAGAUCUCCGGAUGAGAUUCCUAAGUAGUUGUUUAACCUUAAACAAAACCUGAAGCGCAUUCAGGAAACAUAACAAUAACACCAUAUUAGUCUGAACAUCCCAAGGAUAUCCAACAUCUUGGAGAACUAUCGUAACUAGCUCAAAGGAUAAGAGGGUGGUGAAGGAGAAAGGGAGAUUGAACAAGUAGGAAAAAAUAUCUUCCCCUGUCCCCUCCACAGAUUGGCUCCCUGACGAAAAAAGGCAAUAGGUGUAAUUGUUAAUAGUUUCCAAGAUAUGGUUUCCAAAGUAUAGAGUCGACGACAGUGCUGAGUACUAAUACGAGUUUAGGGUCAUGACCAGACAUUUCAUCAUAUCAUAAGCCAUUGUUACACUGCACAGUACCAUAAAGAUCUUACACUAGGGCCCGAAAAGGAUAAACAGCAUGACAGGGAGCACACACAGUAAGUAACGUGCUAUAAAACUCAAUUUGGAAAACAGGCACAGCAGACUUGAGAUUAAAGCAAUCAACAUUGUGACUAGCAACUAUUAAGCAGGUAUAAUACACCAAUUUUAGUUUAACACACUCUGGUCAUAUCUGUCAUUAUCUCAACCCUUCAUGCCCCACGUUGGGCGCCAAAAGGACUGUUGUGGUUUAACCCAGUCAGCAGCUAAACACCACACAGCCAUUCGCUCACCCUCCCCCCUCCUUCUCUGGGAUGGGGGAGAGAAACGGGAAAGUGAAGCCUGUGAGCUGAGAUAAAGACAGUUUAUUAAGACAGGAAAAUAAUAAUAAUAAUAUUAAUAAUAGUACUACUACUAAUAAUGUGUACAAAACAAGUGAUGCACAAUGCAAUUGCUCACCACCCGUUGAUCGCUGCCCAGCCUAUCCCCAGGCAGCCGGCCUCCCACCCCAGCUAGCCACCCCUAUAUAUUGUUUAGCAUGACGUCAGAUGGUAUGGAAUACCACUUUGGCCAAUUUGGGUCAGCCGUUCUCGGUCUGUCCCCUCCCAGAUCCUGCUGCACCCCUAGUCUGCCUGCUGGCAGGACAGAGUGAGAGGCUGAAAAGUCCUUGGCUUGGUGUAAGCACUGCUCUGCAACAAUUAAAACAUCAGCAUGUUAUCAGCACUCUUCUCAUCCUAAUCCAAAACAUAGCACCCUACCAGCUACUAGGAGGAAAAUUAACUCUGUCCUAACUGAAACCAGGACACACGUGGGCACAGUGUAUAUUCCAACAGUGUCUGUAAGUUAACAUAUACAGUAUAUUUUCACUUUCUAGUGUUUCUUGCAGUACCUUUAGUAUCCAAAAAUCUGAACAGUAAAACACAGAUCCAGUAAGAGGAUAUACAUAUAUAAGUACCUACAUAUGUUCAGUUCAGAAGCUUGAGCUCCAUGCUUUAACUUUUUGUUUGACAUUUAAGUAAGGUGCCUGAAAACAUAUGCAGUUUUGCCUUCUGGCAUAAGUCACAACUGUGUCCAACCCCUGAGUAUCCAGCAGUGAUAAAGCGAUUUUAGCAUUUUCAUGCCCAACAGAGAAGAGAACAUGUACAUUGUUUGGAUACUGAAGAACAAAUAUUAAAAUACCUAAAAGAGAGAGACGUAUUUCUAACCACACAAUGUCAUGAUGACAUUUACAACCUAACUGCUAAAACUGCAGGGCUGCUUCAUGAGUUUAAAAGGAAAAUUAUCCUCAGAACCCGUUAACCUACUUGAAUCAAUAGUCUGGGUCCACUUCCUACUGGAUAUAUGCUCACAGAAUAUCUGGCAGCAUCAGCUAAGGAGUGAGUAAGCAUAAAAUAAGUUACUUCCAUCAUUAGAAAUCGUCUUCCUACAUUAGUUUUAAGGAACAUUGGUAAGAGUUGGAGGAAGAUAACACUGGUAUUGAUUGCAAUCCAAAUCAGUGUUCGCAUAUACCAGUAGUAAAACCAUAUCUAUCUAUCUUAGGUUUCAUGUGUGUAUGUGCGUGUAUACACAUGCAUAUAUAUGUACACAAUGGUUGCUUUGUUAAGCUGCUCAUUGCAUUAUUUUUAAUGCUAGUAAAUAUAUAAUGUCAGUCUACUUGGGAAAGCAAGUAAAUCAGAGUAAGAAGAAUUUGGAAAGAUGAUGAUAAUUGGGAUGUUAAAUGUUCAUUGGUUAAAUGCAACAAUAAGCCAUACUAACUCCUUGAGACAUUGUUUACUUGCUUUACAGAUAAGGAUAAAUUCACUAAAAGAUUUUGAGGUGAUGUCCACAGAAUACUAUAAAAUAAAUAAUUAACUUGGACAGAAAUCUGUGAGAAA
rnacentral:lncRNA from 1 species